AAAUUCCUACUAUGUGCGUAGAAUGAGUUUAUAUUGACCCAACAAUUUUGAAAUGGGAAUCGGACUCUUUUUAUGGAAUGAUACUCAGGCAGAUUUCCCUGAGAACAAGAAGUAAAAAGGAGAUGCCCACCUGCGAGAGCGGGUUCAAACAUGACUCAGGAUACGGCAUGGUGGGGUUUUA
rnacentral:other from 2 species